CUUUAGCCUUUGUCUAGGCAAUGUCAUUGUUAUGAAUUUUCGUACAGAAAAUAUAGUAUUAAAACCUACAGUUUUCUCGUACUUUAAAAAAAGGAUCAUGAACACCACCGGACCCUUGCUGCUUUACUCCCUGGUCAUUGUGUCGCUGACCUUUCACACGAUUUUGUGUUUAGGCGCAGAGGACCAGACCAUUGUCGAUGACGUUUCUUCACCCUUUUCGACCGAAGAAGUAGCAAACAGUUUCCUUGAUAGCCGAUCUAGACAGAAAAGGACUUUGUGGGAGGAGUGUUAUGGAGAAGGUUGUACCUUCUGGGAAGCUGCCUACUACUACGGCAACUGGGACAGUACGAGAGAGUACCUGCACGACAUGGCGUGCAACAAAUGGCCAUGUGAGAGUGGUUGCACUUGCGACAGGGCG